rnacentral:pre_miRNA from 1 species
AGUGGAAUUGUUGCAUCAAAUGGUAAAUACGUUGGAUUUUUUUGAGGAACUGGCAGACUGUUUUCCAAAGUGACUGUACCAUUUUACAUUCCCACGGCAGU